GAUGAACGCUGGCGGCGUGCUUAACACAUGCAAGUCGAACGGAAAGGCCCUGAGUUUGUGCUGUGCUCGAGUGGCGAAAGCGUGAGUAACACGUGAGUAACCUGCCCUUGACUUUGGGGUAACUUCAGGAAAAUGGGGCUAAUACCGGACAGGAGCUCCUGUUGCGUGGUGGGGGUUGGAAAGUUGCGGCGGUUGGGGAUGGUCUCGCGGCUUUUCAGCUUGUUGGUGGGGUAGUGGCGUACCAAGGCGUUGACGGGUAGCCGGCCUGGGAGGGUGACCGGGCACAUUGGGCCUGCGAUAGGGCCCAGAGUGCUACGGGAGACAGCGGUGGGAAACAUGGCACAGUGCGCCGAAGCCUGUUACAACGGCGUCGCGUGCGGAAUGCCGGUUUUCGGGUUGUAAACCGCGUUCGCCUGUGACGAAGCGUGAGUGACGGUAACGGAUCAAGAAGCACCGGCUAACUACGUG
rnacentral:rRNA from 1 species